rnacentral:rRNA from 1 species
AAACGACUCUCGGCAACGGAUAUCUCGGCUCUCGCAUCGAUGAAGAACGUAGCGAAAUGCGAUACUUGGUGUGAAUUGCAGAAUCCCGUGAACCAUCGAGUCUUUGAACGCAAGUUGCGCCCGAAGCCGUUANNCCGAGGGCACGUCUGCCUGGGCGUCACG